rnacentral:rRNA from 1 species
GGUAGUGACAGAAAUAACAAUACGGGGCUUAAUGUCUUGUAAUUGGAAUGAUGGYAAUUUAAACCUCUUCCAGAGUAUCAAUUGGAGGGCAAGUCUGGUGCCAGCAGCCGCGGUAAUUCCAGCUCCAAUAGCGUAUAUUAAAAUUGUUGCAGUUAAAAAGCUCGUAGUUGAAUUUCUGCUGCAUUUCAUUUCUCUUUCUGAGUUUGUUUUUGCGGCUUAUUUCGGUUUGAUUUUUUCUUUCCGGAUGAUUACUUUGAGAAAAUUAGAGUGCUCAAAGCAGGCUUUUGCCUUGAAUAGUUUAGCAUGGAAUAAUAAAGUAGGACUUUGGUUCUAUUUUGUUGGUUUUAGGUACCAAAGUAAUGGUUAAUAGGAACAGUUGGGGGCAUUCGUAUUUAACUGUCAGAG